GACGAACGCUGGCGGCGUGCCUAAUACAUGCAAGUAGAACGCACAGUUUAUACCGUAGCUUGCUACACCAUAGACUGUGAGUUGCGAACGGGUGAGUAACGCGUAGGUAACCUGCCUGGUAGCGGGGGAUAACUAUUGGAAACGAUAGCUAAUACCGCAUAAUAUUGAUUAUUGCAUGAUAAUUAAUUGAAAGGUGCAAUUGCACCACUACCAGAUGGACCUGCGUUGUAUUAGCUAGUAGGUGAGGUAACGGCUCACCUAGGCGACGAUACAUAGCCGACCUGAGGGGGGGCUCGCCCCCACGGGGAAUGGGACACGGCCCAGACCCCUACGGGAGGCAGCAGGGGGGAAUCUUCGGCAAUGGACGAAAUCCUGACCGGCAAACCCCGGGGGAGGGAAGAAGGUUUUCGGAUCUUAAAGCUCUGUUGUAAGGGAAGAACGGGUGUGGGAGUGGAAAGUUCACACGGUGACGGUAUUUUACCAAAAAGGGACGGCUAACUACGU
rnacentral:rRNA from 1 species